rnacentral:rRNA from 1 species
AUUGAACGCUGGCGGCAUGCCUUACACAUGCAAGUCGAACGGCAGCACGGGGCAACCUGGUGGCGAGUGGCGAACGGGUGAGUAAUGCAUCGGAACGUACCUUUCAGUGGGGGAUAACGUAGCGAAAGUUACGCUAAUACCGCAUAUUCUGUGAGCAGGAAAGCAGGGGAUCGCAAGACCUUGCGCUGAUUGAGCGGCCGAUGUCAGAUUAGCUAGUUGGUGAGGUAAAGGCUCACCAAGGCGACGAUCUGUAGCGGGUCUGAGAGGAUGAUCCGCCACACUGGAACUGGGACACGGGCCAGACUCCUACGGGAGGCAGCAGUGGGGAAUUCUGGACAAUGGGGGCAACCCUGAUCCAGCCAUGCCGCGUGAGUGAAGAAGGCCUUCGGGUUGUAAAGCUCUUUCGGCCGGGAAGAAAUCGCACGGGCUAAUACCCUGUGUGGAUGACGGUACCGGAAUAAGAAGCACCGGCUAACUACGUGCCAGCAGCCGCGGUAA